CGUUUCAUUUUGACUAAUUUUGACACAGUUACUGCCCCUGUUUUACGGAGCUUCAUGAAAUCUACUCCUCCUCCAGUUUCCAGAGAAUAUCACAAUAUCUAACUAUAACUAUAACUAUAGUUAGUUUCCUUGUAUAAGGCUUUUGUGGGUGAGCUACAUCCUUAUGGCAUUACUCCAAACAAAAUGUUCUGCACAAUUGUUUCAAAUGCAGUGCCAUCUACUGUUGUUAUUUCAUAAAAUACAAAGAAAAUAUAAACUCGUUAAAAAAAUUCAUGUGGGGGGGAUGUUGUGCUCUCAGAGCACUUUUGUUUCCUUGUAUGAUUGACAGGACACCCAUCCUUCCUUCCCCCAAUGUCAGUUCAACGCAGACAGUGUUGGAACAGUGGUGGGAACAAACCCCUCGGAAACCAACCUAUUCACCUAACCCACCUGUGAAUGAUGAUCAGUGACGAUGAUGAGGCAUGCAAGUUGGCAGGACUCCCUUCCAUGGCGGUGGACAUGCCCACCCUGCUUGAUGCUUCUUGGUCACCACCAUCACCGGAGAAUGUCCUCUCCUCAGGGAGGCCAUAGACUGUACCUGUUUUACUGAGGGGUCCCAAUCAUUUUUGGGACCUGUUUGGGACAUUAUGAUGAAUGACCACUUCUUAUGGUGACCCCAUCUUCACUUGAAGAGCUUGACGAUGGAAGAUGGAAGAUGAAAGGUUUUCGCGUUCUUUGAGGGACAUGUUAAGCACUCCCUCCUCAGUUGUCUUUCGUAUUUCCUAUGUAUCGGGGUUGAUGUUGUUGUUGUUGUUGUUCAUCAUUAAACAGUGAUUGAUUGAA